UGAAACCGGCAUAUGUAAAUACAGAGAGUGGAAAUGGUGUUCCAAGGAGGGGAAAUAGUUUCUGUAAAGCAUUCUGCUUCUAACAGAUCAUCCAAGAUGCAGCAGCAUCAAGAAAGAUCACUUCUAUGAAAAGAGGGAGGAAACAUGGAGAUAUGUGCAUUACUAUUAUAAAUUGGGACACACGCAGUUUCCUUUGUUGUUCUCCAAACCAUGAUGAGUAAGCAAGCCCAUUAACUCAACAAGCAAUAUAGUGAAGACUUUUGCAAAGUACUUCAGAAGAAAAGCAGAAAAAUCUCCAUAACCACAGUGCCCAACAUCAUAUGCCAGUUUCCACAGCAGAAAUCUGGAAGUGGUUGAGAACUGACUUCCAAGAAACAGGAGCAAUGUAGGAAAGUCCUCUCCUCCUCCAUCAACAGACUUUCAUUAGG